CGNANUACUAUGAAUAUUAAAAAUUUAAAACUCAAAGAACUUGGCGGUGUUUUUGACCACUCAGGGGAACCUGUCUCAUAAUCGAUAAUCCACGUUGUACCUGACCUUUUUUUGUAUUCAGUUUGUAUACCGUUGUCGUCAGGUAACUUUUUAGAAAUUAGAAGUUAGCAGCAGAAAUAAAAAAUAAUUUAAUACGUCAAAUCAAGGUGCAGCUAAUGAAAAGGGGAGGAUGGGUUACAAUUAUAUAAUUUAUAAUAACGGAUAGGUAUAUGGAGUAUGUAUUAAUUAUAAGGCGGACUUGAAAGUAAAUUAGGUUAUAUAAAUAACUUGAAUGAGGCUCUGAAACGUGU
rnacentral:rRNA from 1 species